rnacentral:rRNA from 1 species
CCUGCGGGAGGCAGCAGGGGGGAAUAUUGCACAAUGGGGGAAACCCUGAUGCAGCAACGCCGCGUGAAGGAAGACGGUGGUCGGAGUGUAAACUUCUGUUCGUAGGGAAGAAGAAUGACGGGAGCGAAGGAGCAAGCCACGGCUAACUACGUGCCAGCAGCCGCGGUAAUACGGAGGUGGCAAGCGGUGUCCGGAAUUACUGGGUGUAAAGGGAGCGCAGGCGGGAAGCCAAGGCAGCUGUGAAAACUACGGGCUGAACUUGUAGACUGCAGUUGAAACUGGUUUUCUUGAGUGAAGUAGAGGUUGGCGGCAUUCCGCGUGUCGCGGUGACAUGCGUAGAUAUUCUGAGG